GCAUAAUAUUUGUUAUUUUCGGGCUUAAUACGCAAGAGCAAAGCAUUCGCACUUUGUUCUUCAUUCCCUUUCUAAUCUCUUGUACAAAUUUACAGUUCUUUCUUUUACAAACAGUUUUUUCUUUUACAAAAGAUAUGACUAAUUGCAUUCGCAAAUCCCAACUCGUCUCUACAUUCUCUUCUAACUCGGUCAACGCCCACUCAACCUCUCUGUGAUUCACAACUCAUAUCCGUGUCAGCUCAUCUCAACUUUACAACUCAUUCUUGAGCUCCGAUCACACGCCCGGAUUAACACUGAGUUCACCCCUGGCCCCAGCAGUUUAGGUACAUCACUCGUCGAAAAGACUCAUCGUUUUCCCUCACUCCGUCCAAGCGAGGACUUUUAGGAACUCCGUCGCGAUCUGAUCCGGCUGCUCCAGCUAGUGGCCGGAGCUCCGACGAUUCUCCGGUGGGGAACAGCCUUCUCUUGCCGUGCUGCAGAGACUUGAAGCUGGAUGUCCAUUUAUAGCCUUGGUCUGCACGGCCUUGAACGACGGCCACGCUGGCUGCCAUGUAAACACGAUUCAGGUAACUCAUUUUCCUAUGAUGAGAGUAAUUUGUUAUUGGUCUACUGGGCGAUGAGAGGAGGAGGGUGUUUUUAUAGAAAGAAAGAGCGGUUUUAUAAAACUGGAAACAGGAAACAGAAAGUGGUUUUGGGAUAAUAAUGGAGGGCCCGAUAAUGGAGGUUGUUUUCUUGUGGCCUUUUCUGGGUCUUGGUUUUAUUGAUUGUAUACAGAAAUGAGCUUAUCAGGAAUCUCUCGAGAGAAAUUCACUUCUCGUGAUGUGAUAUCUCGCUGUGAAUGAAUCAAAA
rnacentral:misc_RNA from 1 species